rnacentral:rRNA from 1 species
GACGAACGCUGGCGGUAUGCUUAACACAUGCAAGUCGAACGGGAUCUUCGGAUCCAGUGGCGCACGGGUGAGUAAUGUACAGGAAUCUGCCUCUAGGUGGGGGAUAGCUCGGUGAAAACUGAAUUAAUCCCGCAUAAUGCCUUCGGGUGAAAGUCGCAAGACGCCAAGAGAUGAGCCUGUAUCUGAUUAGCUAGUUGGUAGGGUAAAGGCCUACCAAGGCGACGAUCAGUAGCUGGUUUGAGAAGAUGAUCAGCCACAGUGGAACUGAGACACGGUCCACACUCCUACGGGAGGCAGCAGUGGGGAAUAUUCCGCAAUGGGCGAAAGCCUGACGGAGCAAUACCGCGUGUAGGAUGAAGGCUUUAGGGUCGUAAACUACUGUCGACGGGGAAGAAAAAAUGACGGUACCCCGUAAAGGAAG